UAAAAUAGGUAUGUAUAUAUCUACAUUGGAUUCCCCUCACAGAAAAGACAAAAAAAAAAGAGGAGAAAUCUGAUCUCUCUCACACAAAAUCUCCCAACGUCUCUCUCCAUUGUCCCUGCUCCACUCCCAACAAACUCACAAUCCACUCUGAAAAUCCUCAGAACCACUACUAACAACCUCACUCACUCACUCAAUUGAGAUCUCUCAGACAAAAGACGUUACACAAAUAAUAAAUAGAAAAACCUUUUCCUCUUCCCAGGACACCUUGCUCACCUCUCUCACACGCACAAACCACACAAUUUUUACUCUGAAAAAU
rnacentral:lncRNA from 1 species